rnacentral:tRNA from 1 species
GGUUCUAUGGUUUAGUGGUAGAAUAUCACGUUGUGGCCGUGAAGAGCCGUGUUCGAUUCACGGUAGAGCCA